rnacentral:rRNA from 1 species
GCACCACAAGAACGCGUGGAGCAUGUGGCUUAAUUUGACUCAACGCGGGAAAUCUUACCGGGUCCGGACACACUGAGGAUUGACAGGCAAUAUCUCAUGGUUAUUAACCGGUUAUUUAUUUAAUCGGUUAUUAAGCAUCGAGUGUUAAAUAUGCUAGUCCUUUCAUGAUUAUGUGAUAGGUGGUGCAUGGCCGUUCUUAGUUCGUGGAGUGAUCUGUCUGCUUAAUUGCGUUUCACUAAGGGCCCAUAAAUUCAAGGUAUGUUAGCUAUCGUCGCUCUAUGGACCCCUUAUACUCGAUUUCGCUUUAAUUAGCGUUAUUUGUUUAAGCGCGCGUCUUUAUUUAAUGAGUUUAAGACACUGCGCAUGCUGUUGGGCUCUGAAAGCAACGAACGUGACCGCAACGUCUUGUUGCCUUAAUAAAGUUGGCUUUUAAUACAAAUUCGUAUUUAAACCGCUUACAGGGGCUAUUUAAAACUAGACGGACCGCUGUUUCUUUUCUUAAACCAGAGGAAGGUUGCGGCAAUAACAGGUCUGUGAUGC